CCUACGGGAGGCAGCAGCAAGGAAUUUUCGUUCAAUGGGGGAAACCCGUGAACGAGCAACGCCGCGUGGGCGAAGAAGUCUUUCGGGAUGUAAAGCCCUUUUCCCUGUGAAGAAAGAAAGACGGUAACAGGGGAAUAAGCAUCGGCUAACUACGUGCCAGCAGCCGCGGUAAUACGUAGGAUGCAAGCGUUGUCCGGAAUUAUUGGGCGUAAAGAGCGCGCAGGCGGUAAAACAAGUCAGAUGUGAAAUAUCCGGGCUUAACCCGGAGGGGUCAUUUGAAACUGUUUAACUAGAGUACAGCAGAGGAUAGCGGAAUUCCCGGUGUAGUGGUGAAAUGCGUAGAUAUCGGGAGGAACACCAGUGGCGAAGGCGGCUAUCUGGGCUGAAACUGACGCUGAGGCGCGAAGGCUAGGGGAGCAAACAGGAUUAGAUACCCUGGUAGUCCUAGCAGUAAACGAUGGAUACUAGGUGUUGGGGGGAAAUUGACCCCCUCAGUGCCGCAGUUAACACAAUAAGUAUCCCGCCUGGGGAGUACGGUCGCAAGAUUAAACUAAGGAAUGACGGCNGAGAGNGCGACGACGACACGAGGAGAG
rnacentral:rRNA from 1 species